rnacentral:lncRNA from 1 species
GGACUCGGUUGCGGCGGCGGCGGAGGAAGAAGCAUGGCGGAGGCUGCGGGUGCAAGCGAAGCGAUGUCUGAGCUGGAGUGCGGCAUCUGCUGCAUGCCCUACGACUGCUGCGAGCGAGCGCCCCGUCAGCUGGGCAGCACGCGGGGCUCCUGGAAGCCCUCGUGCUGCCGCCAUGUGAUCUGCACCGCCUGCAUCUGCCGGCUGGCCCGCGAGAGCUGGUGGGAGCAGGUCAUGUGCCCCUACUGUCGGACCAUCACUUCCCUCCGCGCGGGCAGCAAGACGGUGACGGCCGGCCUGAGGCGCUACACCGGCGGCUGGAGGCGGCGGCUGAUCAUGCCGCCCAUCGUCAGCGAACUCUGGCAGCAGGUCAUGCUCCAGAAGCGAGAACAGGACCAUCCCGCCUGUCUGGAGAGCUUUACCGAGGACGACGACGACGACGACGACGACGAGGAGGAGGAGGAGGAGGAGGAGGAGGAGGAAGAAGAGGAAGAGAAUGAGAAUGGCGAGGUCAUACAAUGGCGCCCCUGGCGGACGCUAAAAAAACUCCUAAAGGGAGGAGGAGGCCAAGCGCAUGCGCGCGGUGGGAGAGGGCGGGUACGUGGUGGUUCCGGCUCCACGUGGCGGAGACAGCAACCAAUCAACUGUUCGGGAAUGAAGGACUUGGCCCUCGUGACUUGCUAUGUCGUCUGAAAAGCCAUGGUCACUGUGCACGGACAAAAAGUAUUUUUGUGGUCAAUUUGUAUCAAGGGGACUGGCUAUCUGGAGAAGGUAGCUGCGUCCUCCCAGGAUGUUGUCUUUUUGGGUUACUAGGGGGCCAAUGUUGACAGUGGCCCAAGAAUGGACAGAAAUUAUUUCACCACUUCUCACUGUGAAAUACAAGUGACUGCAGGAGUUCCAGCAGAGGAAAUUAUUCUGUAACACGAAGAACAUUUAAAACAUUGUGAAGACUUAAUUUAUAUUAAUAGUUGCCUCCAGAAGCAGAAUGGACUUUUUUUUUCCAGGAAUCUUAUUUCUCUGGUUGGAUUGGAACUUUCUUUGCAUCAUAGACCUGAAAUGGGGAAAAAAAAACAUCAAACCUGACUUUUAGGAAUAUCUCUGGUCUGUAGGAGGAGGAAACUUGACCUCUUGAUCUUGUUUGGUUUCUUAGACGAGGAACUGAAAUAAAAUAUGUCCAAAGUUUCA